GGGUUGUGAGGUUAAGCGACUAAGCGUACACGGUGGAUGCCCUGGCAGUCAGAGGCGAUGAAGGGCGUGCUAAUCUGCGAUAAGCGCCGGUAAGGUGAUAUGAACCGUUAUAACCGGCGAUACCCGAAUGGGGAAACCCAGUGUGUUUCGACACACUAUCAUUAACUGAAUCCAUAGGUUAAUGAGGCGAACCGGGGGAACUGAAACAUCUAAGUACCCCGAGGAAAAGAAAUCAACCGAGAUUCCCCCAGUAGCGGCGAGCGAACGGGGAGGAGCCCAGAGCCUGAAUCAGCAUAUGUGUUAGUGGAAGCGUCUGGAAAGGCGCGCGAUACAGGGUGACAGCCCCGUACACAAAAGCGCAUGUGCUGUGAGCUCGAUGAGUAGGGCGGGACACGUGGUAUCCUGUCUGAAUAUGGGGGGACCAUCCUCCAAGGCUAAAUACUCCUGACUGACCGAUAGUGAACCAGUACCGUGAGGGAAAGGCGAAAAGAACCCCGGCGAGGGGAGUGAAAAAGAACCUGAAACCGUGUACGUACAAGCAGUGGGAGCACAGGUUUACCUGUGUGACUGCGUACCUUUUGUAUAAUGGGUCAGCGACUUAUAUUCUGUAGCAAGGUUAACCGAAUAGGGGAGCCGGAGGGAAACCGAGUCUUAAUUGGGCGUUAAGUUGCAGGGUAUAGACCCGAAACCCGGUGAUCUAGCCAUGGGCAGGUUGAAGGUUGGGUAACACUAACUGGAGGACCGAACCGACUAAUGUUGAAAAAUUAGCGGAUGACCUGUGGCU
rnacentral:rRNA from 1 species